rnacentral:rRNA from 1 species
AACGAACGCUGGCGGCAGGCCUAACACAUGCAAGUCGAGCGAGGACUUCGGUCCUAGCGGCGGACGGGUGAGUAACGCGUGGGAACGUACCCUUUGCUACGGAAUAGCCUCGGGAAACUGGGAGUAAUACCGUAUGUGCCCUUCGGGGGAAAGAUUUAUCGGCAAAGGAUCGGCCCGCGUUGGAUUAGGUAGUUGGUGGGGUAAUGGCCUACCAAGCCGACGAUCCAUAGCUGGUUUGAGAGGAUGAUCAGCCACACUGGGACUGAGACACGGUCCAGACUCCUACGGGAGGCAGCAGUGGGGAAUCUUAGACAAUGGGGGAAACCCUGAUCUAGCCAUGCCGCGUGAGCGAUGAAGGCCUUAGGGUUGUAAAGCUCUUUCAGCUGGGAAGAUAAUGACGGUACCAGCAGAAGAAGCCCCGGCUAACUCCGUGCCGGCAGCCGCGGUAA